rnacentral:rRNA from 1 species
UACACUCCUGCGGGAGGCAGCAGUGGGGAAUUUUGGACAAUGGGCGAAAGCCUGAUCCAGCAAUGCCGCGUGAGUGAAGAAGGCCUUCGGGUUGUAAAGCUCUUUUGUCAGGGAAGAAACGGUGAGAGCUAAUAUCUCUUGCUAAUGACGGUACCUGAAGAAUAAGCACCGGCUAACUACGUGCCAGCAGCCGCGGUAAUACGUAGGGUGCAAGCGUUAAUCGGAAUUACUGGGCGUAAAGCGUGCGCAGGCGGUUUUGUAAGUCUGAUGUGAAAUCCCCGGGCUCAACCUGGGAAUUGCAUUGGAGACUGCAAGGCUAGAAUCUGGCAGAGGGGGGUAGAAUUCCACGUGUAGCAGUGAAAUGCGUAGAUAUGUGGAGGAACACCGAUGGCGAAGGCAGCCCCCUGGGUCAAGAUUGACGCUCAUGCACGAAAGCGUGGGGAGCAAACAGGAUUAGAAACCCUGGUAGUCCC